UACCCCGUGGUGUAAUUGGUAACACAACAGAUUCUGAUUCUGUCGUUUGGGGUUCGAGUCCCUGCGGGGUAA
rnacentral:tRNA from 1 species